GGGGAGGGACGAAGGGUGCUCUGAAACAGCCAUCACACACAUGUCUAUGGUGGAGAGCAAGAAUGUGUGCCAGCGGCUCCAUAGCGAACGGCAGCAGCUCAAGAAUUAAAGUCCUAGACCGUAAUGGAAAACUGUAAUUGAUACGGGCUGCAGUGGAGCAGGUUGAGAGCUUCAAGUUCCUUGAUGUCCACAUCACCAACAAACCAACAUGGUCCAAAGACACCAUGACAGUCGUGAAGCAGGCACGACAAAACCUAUUCCUCCUCAGGAGACUGAAAAGAUUUGGCAUGGGUCCUCAGAUCCUUACAAGGUUCAACAGCUGCACCAUCGAGGGCAUCCUGACUGGUUGCAUCACUGCCUGGUAUAACUGCUCGGCCUUCGACCGUAAGGCACUACAGAGGGUUGUGCGAACGGCCCAGUACAUCCAGGACCUCUAUACCAGGCUGUGUCAGAGGAAGGCCGGGAAAAUUGUCAAAGACUCCAGCCACCCUAGUCAUAGAUUGUUCUCUCUGCUACCACAAAUGCAAGCGGUACCGGAGCGCCAAGUCUAGGUCCAAGAGGCUUCUAAACAGCUUCUACCUCCAAGCCAUAAGACUCCUGAACAUCUAGUCAAAUGGCUACCCAGACUAUUUACAUAUCCCCCCUCCACACCACUGCCACUCUGUGUUGUCAUCUAUGCAUUGUCACUUUAAUUAACUCUACCUACAUGUACAUACUUCCUCAACUAACCGGUGCCCCGGCACAUCCACUCUGUACCGGCACCCCCCUGUAUAUAUUGUUCUUUUCUACUGCUGCUCUUUAAUUACUUGUUACUUGUUACUUUUCUCUUAUUCUUUUCCGUAUUUUUUUUUAAACUGCACUGUCGGUUAGGGGCUCGUAAGUAAGCAUUUCACUGUAAGGUUGUAUUUGGCGCAUGUGACUAAUAAAACUUUAUUGGAUAA
rnacentral:lncRNA from 1 species